rnacentral:miRNA from 1 species
AGGUGUGUCUGUAGAGUCC